rnacentral:rRNA from 1 species
GGAGGCAGCAGUGGGGAAUAUUGCACAAUGGGCGGAAGCCUGAUGCAGCGACGCCGCGUGAGGGAUGACGGCCUUCGGGUUGUAAACCUCUUUCAGCAGGGACGAAGCGUAAGUGACGGUACCUGCAGAAGAAGCGCCGGCCAACUACGUGCCAGCAGCCGCGGUAAGACGUAGGGCGCGAGCGUUGUCCGGAUUUAUUGGGCGUAAAGAGCUCGUAGGCGGCUUGUCGCGUCGACCGUGAAAACCUGGGGCUCAACCCCAGGCCUGCGGUCGAUACGGGCAGGCUAGAGUUCGGUAGGGGAGACUGGAAUUCCUGGUGUAGCGGUGAAAUGCGCAGAUAUCAGGAGGAACACCGGUGGCGAAGGCGGGUCUCUGGGCCGAUACUGACGCUGAGGAGCGAAAGCGUGGGGAGCGAACAGGAUUAGAUACCCUGGUAG